rfam:Gorilla gorilla gorilla genomic chromosome, chr11, whole genome shotgun sequence
GCUGGGUGUGGUGGUGGGUGCCUGUAAUCCCAGCUACUUGGGAGGCUGAGGCAGGAGGAUCACUUGAGCCUGGGACAUUGAGGCUGCAGUGAGCUGAGAGCACACCACUGCACUCCAGCCUGGGCAACAGAGCAAGACCCUGUCUCAA